rnacentral:rRNA from 1 species
AGAGUUUGAUUAUGGCUCAGAUUGAACGCUGGCGGGAUGCUUUACACAUGCAAGUCGAACGGCGGCACGGACUUCGGUCUGGUGGCGAGUGGCGAACGGUGAGUAAUGUAUCGGAACGUGCCUAGUGGCGGGGGAUAACUGCGCGAAAGCGUAGCUAACCGCAUACGCCCUUCGGGGGAAAGCGGGGGGACCUUCGGGCCUCGCACUAUUAGAGCGGCCAUUAUCGGAUUAGCUAGUUGGUGGGGUAACGGCUCACCAAGGCGACGAUCCGUAGCUGGUUUGAGGACGACCAGCCACACUGCGGACUGAGACACGGCCCAGACUCCUACGGGAGGCAGCAGUGGGAAUUUUGGACAAUGGGGAAACCUGAUCCAGCCAUCCCGCGUGUGCGAUGAAGGCCUUCCCGGGUUGUAAAGUACUUUUGGCAGGAAAGAAACGGCACAGGAUGCAAUACCCCGUGCAACUGACGGUACCUGCAGAAUAAGCACCGGCUAACUACGUGCCAGCAGCCACUUGCCGGUAAUACCGUAGGGUGCAAGCGUUAAUCAGAUUCUGGCGUAAGCGUGCGCAGAGCGGUUCGGAAAAGAAAGAUGUGAAAUCUGAGCAACUUUGGAACUGCAUUUUUAACUACCGAAGGCUAGAGUGUGUCAGAGGGAGGUGGAAUUCCGCGUGUAGCGGUAAAUGCGUAGAUAUGGAGGAACACGAUGGCGAAGGCAACCUCCUGGGAUAACACUGACGCUCAUGCACGAAAGCGUGGGAGCAAACGGGAUUAGGUACCCUGGUAGUCCACGCCCUAAACGAUGUCAACUAGCUGUUGGGGCCUUCGGGCCUUGGUAAGCAGCCACGCAAUGAAGUUGACCGCCUGGGAGAGUACGGUCGCAAGAUUAAAACUCAAAGGAAUUGACGGGGACCCGCACAAGCGGUGGAUGAUGUGGAUUAAUUCGAUGCAACGCGAAAAACCUUACCUACCCUUGACAUGUCUGGAAUCCGAAGAGAUUUGGGAGUGCUCGCAAGAGAACCGGAACACAGGUGCUGCAUGGCUGUCGCUAUUAAGCUCGAGUAUCAGUGAGAUGUUGGGUUGGUCACGGCGGCUGGCGCAUCAUUAGUUGCUACGAAGGGCACUCUAAUGGGCUGCCGGUGACAAACCGGAGGAAGGUGGGGAUGACGUCAAGUCCUCAUGGCCCUUAUGGGUAGGGCUUCACACGUCAUACAAUGGUCGGGACAGAGGGUCGCCAACCCGCACGAGGGCCAAUCCCAGAAACCCGAUCGUAGUCCGGAUCGCAGUCUGCAACUCGACUGCGUGAAGUGGAGAUCGCUAAGCGUCGCGGAUCAGCAUGUCGCGGUGAAUACGUUCCCGGGUCUUGUACACACCGCCCGUCACACCAUGGGAGUGGGUUUUACCAAGUAGUUAGCCUAACAGAGGCGAUUACCACGGUAGGAUUCAUGACUGGGGUGAAGUCAUGCUACGGGUAA